GGACAAGUCUGGCAGCAUGAGUGCUUAUGAGAUGAGGAUGGCCAUCGAGGCUGCAGGCUUCAAGCUUAACAAGAAGCUGCAUGAGCUCAUCAUCACCCACUACUCAGAGCCCGACCUGGCCGUGGACUUUGACAACUUUGUGUGCUGCCUUGUGCGCCUGGAGACCAUGUUCCGGUUUUUCAAAAUUCUGGACACAGACCUGGAUGGUGUUGUGACCUUUGAUCUAUUUAAGUGGUUACAGCUGACUAUGUUUGCAUGAAGCGGGAUGGCUCCGCUGCCUGUGUUCUUCCUUCUUCCUCUGCCAAGCCACACCUCCCCGCCAUGCCGUACCAGACCAUGUCAGCUGCCAGUGCCUUCCCUCAAAAAAGGAGGGCACCUUGUCCUCCUGUCCCCUUGUCCUCCUGUCCUUUCACCUCCCCACUACCUCUGUUCAAUUGCUCUAGGCAGAGUCACAGGGCCCUUCCUGCCCCUGUAGCUAAGGCAACCCUGACCCCUGCUCAUGGCUAAGAGCAGGAAGGCAGCUCCCUGCUUACUCCUUCCUGCCUCCGGGGCAGGAGUAGGCAUCCCUGCCCCUCCCACUCCCUGCUACUGUCCAGAUGUGUGUCUCACCUAAUCUGUGGAGGCUCUAGCCCCUGUCAUCCCCUAGACCUGCAGACUUCGUAACCACUAGCUAGUUCCUUGUCUGCACCUGGGUGUUGAAGGCCUCACCUCACUAUGGGAGCCCCACAGCCAGUUCACCUUCCUGUGCCUUCAUGUGCAGCAGCCAAGAUCCCUCUGCAAACCAAAGUACACCUCUCCUGCCCGUGUGCCCACCAGGAACUUCCUGGCCGGGAGGGCACUCAGGCCCUCCGUAUCCCCACCCCCCUUCCUCUAUUUUUUAAUAUUUUUCAAGGAAAUGCUUGAGGGACUAGUGUACUGGUUAUGGAGGACCAGGACCUGGGGGGUGGGUUGGGGAGGUCCCAUGUUUCAGUGCAGUGGGAAAAUAAAAUGAAAGGCCAGA
rnacentral:lncRNA from 1 species